rnacentral:rRNA from 1 species
ACGCCUAACACAUGCAAGUCGAGCGAGGUAGCAAUACCUAGCGGCAGACGGGUGAGUAACAUGUGGGAGUCUGCCUUUUGGUUCGGAACAACACGGGGAAACCUGUGCUAAUACCGGAUAAGUCCUAACGGAGAAAGUUUUAAUGCCAAAAGAUGAGCCCGCAUUUGAUUAGCAGUUGAGGUAAAAGCUUACCAAGACGACAAUCAAUAGCUGAUUUGAGAGGAUGAUCAGCCACACUGGGACUGAGAUACGGCCCAGACUCC